AAUAUACUCCCUCCGUCCGGAAAUACUUGUCAUCAAAAUGAAUAGAAGAGGAUGUAUCUAGAUGUAUAUUAGUUCUAGAUACAUCCCUUUUUAUCCAUUUUGAUGACAAGUAUUUUCGGACGGAGGGAGUACAUC
rnacentral:pre_miRNA from 1 species